UACAGAGGUCUCGAGCGUUAGGCGGAACCACUGGGCUUAAAGCGUGUGUAGGCGGAUUGGUAAGUACCUUGUGAAAUCCCACGGCUCAACCGUGGAACUGCUCGGUAUACUGCCUGUCUUGUGCAACCUAGGGGCGAGCGGAACAGAUGGUGGAGCGGUGAAAUGCGUAGAUAUCUGGAGGAACACCGGUGGCGAAGGCGGCUACCUGGCCCAACAUUGACACUGAGACCCGAAAGCGUGGGGAUCAAACAGG
rnacentral:rRNA from 1 species